AAUCAAUAGCCAAUUAAUUGUUGGCCGGUAUGAAUGGCGUCACGAAGGCCCCACUGUCUUAAGAGGACUCUCCAUGAAAUUGAAUUCGUAGUGAAGAUGCUACGUCCAUAUUGUAAGACGAAAAGACCCCAUAGAGCUUUACUAAAGACUUGCAUGGCUCAAAAUAAUUUGACUUAAAUAAAGAGUUUAGAUAAUGUGGGACCCGUUUCUGGUUAAUGAAACACCACUCUUUUAUUUUAAGAGAGCUAACAUUACAGGGAUAGUGUAAGUUGGAUAGUUUGGUUGGGGCGACCACCUUUUAAAAGGUAACGAAGGUGAGCUUAAGGUCCGUAGUUAAUAGCCGGUGGCCUGACUGCAAGGGGGACGUCUCGAGCAGACACGUCCUUAGGGAUGUGGACUAUAGUGACCCGUCAUCUUAGUGUGGAAUAGUUGACGAUCAA
rnacentral:rRNA from 1 species